GGUUGCUGCUAAAUAUUCCAAAAGCAUCAGAUCUUUUCUGAUCUUGGAAUCUAACCUUGGCCAGCCCUGGUUGGUACUUGGGUGGGAAACCACCAAUGAAUACCAGGUGCUGAAGGCU
rnacentral:rRNA from 11 species